CAUAAUUAUUGCGAUUGGCAAAAAAAGAAAAAAAAAAUCGCGAUAAAGUUGUCGUGGCGCAUCCGUUCCGUCCCGGAAUCUCUUCGACCGGGACAUAACAUAAAUAAAAGCUAUUGUUUUCCGGCUAGGAUGCUGAAUCAGUUCCUUUUCCGCAUGAAGAAACUGCGUAAUGGCAACAUCACCGAAGCAAAAAAGGUCGAAUUCCGUUCGACCAUCGGUCUUCAACGCCGUGGAAUGGCCCGUGUACACCAGCCGGGGCUAUUAUGGCUGGGAUCAGAACCAAAUUUGCGCUCAUCCCAUUUAAAUUAACAUCCGGACCAAUGGAGCUGAUACCUAAUCCUUGUACGUGAUGGAGCUUCGACUGCUGGCUGCGUUUUCGGUUAGCUGUUGCUUAGAAAAAAAAAUUUAAAAC